CUUCUGGGGAGUACUUGGAAUCAACCCGCUCGUCCCAUGACGUGCCGUGAAGAAUGACAGUUACGCCGCAAAAUAUCAGCCCCGAACAUGAAAUCCUUCCUUAAUGAAGUUAUUAGCUCAUUGAUAAUUAAGGAUCUUCUUCCAUGUCAUCGGGAUCGGGAACCAUAAUGAAGUGCUUUGGAUAUACAAGGUUGUGUGGGAUGCUCCUGUUGUAUGAUUUGAUGAAUCUUGGAAUUCAAGUAUUUGUGUAGCACUGGGUCUAGAGAGAGGCUGACAUUCAGUGAAGUACCAGGUUCAAAUAAUUAGAAGAUUUUAAUUCAGGGCAUGAAACCCCCAGGUGUGUCUGGGUACAGACUCAGUGCGAAGAAAAGAGUAAAAGCGAGAAGCUCUCGGAGGGCGCUGACUCACUCUCCUCAGGGAAAAGCAGUCGACCUGUGAAGCUUUGCAGGGAAGAUGCUAAGGCCAGUUUGGGGGAAACGUGAAGUGAAAAAGACAAGAGAAAGACACAGGAACUUCCCCUACUAUUUACCACCUUACAAUGCAAGCCUUCUCUCUUCAUUCUCUGCUUUCAGUACUGAGCUCCGAGUCCUGCUAGACUAAUAUUUAGACACAUUUUGCUUUGAUAAUUAGGAUGAAGGGAAUAGGACAACUUCAUAUUUGGGGCUCCUGGAAGAUCAGAUGUGAAUACAGAUAUUAGAUCUGGAUCCGUGUGUACCGUGGGUCCCAUGGAGCAACCUCCAUAGUCAUUUCUCAGGCUCCUAAAUCAGGAGCUUCAAAGGUAACUCCUGGGGUGAUUUUUAGUGACUUUCCAUCAGUGUGGGUAUAAUUGACAUUGUCAAUUUUCCACUGGCUUCUUUGUAUAGUCUUCUGGUUUCCGGGUAUCCACUGGACUUGAGCUGACCCUAGACUGAUCUCAUGGCAUCUUUGGGGGACCUGAAUCAACAGCUUCCAGCUCAGAACAGUGAUUCCACCUCUCUUGGAACAGUCAUAUCUGCUGAGAAGUUUAAGGAAGGAACCUUGAGAAAGCAUCAGAGGUGGCUUUGGAGGUGGAAUCUAAAGAAACUAGAGGAGAGAAGAAAGGAAGAAUGGAUUACAAAAGAUGAGCAAGAUGCCUGGAAUUUCACACGUACAUCAUCUCUUUGGGUCACAGAGAAAGCCAUGCUUGAUUAACACUGAGGAUUUGCGUGCGACCUAUGGCUGGUGUCCAAUGACUUCUCCCAUUUUCAGAACACUUCUGUAAUGUUGCCGUCAGUGGUGAAUAUAUGACAUCCAAGGAAAGGUGAGGCCCUGACACUAAGAGGAAUACAAUGACCAGUCCAAGAGGACAACCCAGAACUGGACUUCUGGGGCCUGACUGAACUGGAUUGAGGUAUCGGACACACUUUUACAGAGGCUAUUUAGGAGGUAGAUUUUAUGAGCCUCAUUUUGCCAAUGAUAACACUAGGGCACAGAGAGGUUCAGCAACCCGCCCAAGGCCACACAGCCAGGAAGGAGCAGGAUCUGACCCCAGGCUGCCUGACUCCGGAGCCCAUGCUUGCAAACAUUCCACUGAACCAGGUCGUAAUCCCUGCUGAAUGAUUUCAGCUCUCCUGCUGUCUUCCCCCACCUCACUGUCUCUCGAUGGACGUUCACAUUUCCCGGCUGGCCCAGAAGCUGCGAUAGGGUGUUAUGAGCUGUUAGGUUAAGAGGGGUGAAGCCCUGUGAAAAGAAAACACACUUGCUCCCCUUCCUCAGCUGCGCUGGUCUUUCCUCCAGCUGAUCUUUCUCCUGUUAUAUAAAUGGAAUGUGAUACAAAUGUUUCCACCAUGAGUUUCCUUUCAAAAGAUGAA
rnacentral:lncRNA from 1 species